rnacentral:rRNA from 1 species
UCUUUGAUUCUUCGGAUGAAGAGGUUUGUGACUGAGUGGCGGACGGGUGAGUAACGCGUGGGUAACCUGCCUCAUACAGGGGGAUAACAGUUAGAAAUGACUGCUAAUACCGCAUAAGACCACGGAGCCGCAUGGCUCAGUGGGAAAAACUCCGGUGGUAUGAGAUGGACCCGCGUCUGAUUAGGUAGUUGGUGGGGUAACGGCCUACCAAGCCAACGAUCAGUAGCCGACCUGAGAGGGUGACCGGCCACAUUGGGACUGAGACACGGCCCAAACUCCUACGGGAGGCAGCAGUGGGGAAUAUUGCACAAUGGGGGAAACCCUGAUGCAGCGACGCCGCGUGAGCGAAGAAGUAUUUCGGUAUGUAAAGCUCUAUCAGCAGGGAAGAAAAUGACGGUACCUGACUAAGAAGCACCGGCUAAAUACGUGCCAGCAGCCGCGGUAAUACGUAUGGUGCAAGCGUUAUCCGGAUUUACUGGGUGUAAAGGGAGCGUAGACGGCUGUGUAAGUCUGAAGUGAAAGCCCGGGGCUCAACCCCGGGACUGCUUUGGAAACUAUGCAGCUAGAGUGUCGGAGAGGUAAGUGGAAUUCCCAGUGUAGCGGUGAAAUGCGUAGAUAUUGGGAGGAACACCAGUGGCG